rnacentral:rRNA from 1 species
CCAAUAGCGUAUAUUAAAGUUGCUGCAGUUAAAAAGCUCGUAGUUGAAUUUCGGGAUCAAUAUGUUGGUCGUGCCUCGGUACGUACUAGCUUAUUGGUUUCUCCCUUCUGACGAACCAUGAUGUCAUUUAUUUGGUGUUAUGGGAAAUCAGGACUGUUACUUUGAAAAAAUUAGAGUGUUUAAAGCAGGCUCACGCUUGAAUACAUUAGCAUGGAAUAAUGAAAUAGGACGUUUGAUUCUAUUUUGUUGGUUUCUAGGAUCGACGUAAUGAUUAAUAGG